rnacentral:rRNA from 1 species
CCCUUAGAUGUUCUGGGCUGCACGCGCGCUACACUGAUGCGCUCAACGAGUUUAUGACCUUGCCCGGAAGGGUUGGGUAAUCUUUUUAAAACGCAUCGUGAUGGGGAUAGAUUAUUGCAAUUAUUAAUCUUCAACGAGGAAUUCCUAGUAAGCGCGAGUCAUCAGCUUGCAUUGAUUACGUCCCUGCCCUUUGUACACACCGCCCGUCGCACCUACCGAUUGAAUGGUCCGGUGAAAUCUUCGGAUCUGAGAGAUGUCUGAUUAAUUUCGGACGCCUUUUGGAAAAGUUGCUUAAACCUUACCAUUUAGAGGAAGGUGAAGUCGUAACA